CCGGGCCAGGUCAGGCUGAGGGGUUGGGCCAGGCCGAGGGGCUGGAGGAGGAGAGAGCAGGGUCAGAACUAGCGGUGAUCGCACCUGGGCGGACUUAGAGAGAGCUCCUGGUGGCAGCAGGAUCCCCCAGACAUCGCCAGCAGCUGACACUUCACUGUCCUCCCUCGAGAAGCAAGAGCUUGGGCUGCAUCUCUGAGUUUAGACCUCCAACCUCAGCAUUCUGACCUGGUGCCACCUUUGGGAGGAUGGAUCAGGACAGUUACUCAAGUGAUCAGCC